rnacentral:rRNA from 1 species
AGUCGAACGGUGAAAGAGGAGCUUGCUCCUCUGGAUCAGUGGCGAACGGGUGAGUAACACGUGAGUAACCUGCCCCAGACUCUGGGAUAAGCACUGGAAACGGUGUCUAAUACCGGAUAUGAGCUUCAGCCGCAUGGCUAGGAGCUGGAAAGAAUUUCGGUCUGGGAUGGACUCGCGGCCUAUCAGCUAGUUGGUGAGGUAAUGGCUCACCAAGGCGACGACGGGUAGCCGGCCUGAGAGGGUGACCGGCCACACUGGGACUGAGACACGGCCCAGACUCCUACGGGAGGCAGCAGUGGGGAAUAUUGCACAAUGGGCGCAAGCCUGAUGCAGCAACGCCGCGUGAGGGACGACGGCCUUCGGGUUGUAAACCUCUUUUAGUAGGGAAGAAGCGAAAGUGACGGUACCUGCAGAAAAAGCACCGGCUAACUACGUGCCAGCAGCCGCGGUAAUACGUAGGGUGCAAGCGUUAUCCGGAAUUAUUGGGCGUAAAGAGCUCGUAGGCGGUUUGUCGCGUCUGCUGUGAAAACUGGAGGCUCAACCUCCAGCCUGCAGUGGGUACGGGCAGACUAGAGUGCGGUAGGGGAGAUUGGAAUUCCUGGUGUAGCGGUGGAAUGCGCAGAUAUCAGGAGGAACACCGAUGGCGAAGGCAGAUCUCUGGGCCGUAACUGACGCUGAGGAGCGAAAGCAUGGGGAGCGAACAGGAUUAGAUACCCUGGUAGUCCAUGCCGUAAACGUUGGGAACUAGAUGUAGGGACCAUUCCACGGUUUCUGUGUCGCAGCUAACGCAUUAAGUUCCCCGCCUGGGGAGUACGGCCGCAAGGCUAAAACUCAAAGGAAUUGACGGGGGCCCGCACAAGCGGCGGAGCAUGCGGAUUAAUUCGAUGCAACGCGAAGAACCUUACCAAGGCUUGACAUAUACGAGAACGGGCUAGAAAUAGUCAACUCUUUGGACACUCGUAAACAGGUGGUGCAUGGUUGUCGUCAGCUCGUGUCGUGAGAUGUUGGGUUAAGUCCCGCAACGAGCGCAACCCUCGUUCUUUGUUGCCAGCACGUAAUGGUGGGAACUCAAAGGARACUGCCGGGGUCA